rnacentral:rRNA from 1 species
ACCGGGUGGAUGAGUGGCGAACGGGUGAGUAACACGUGAGUAACCUGCCCCUGACUUCGGGAUAAGCCCGGGAAACUGGGUCUAAUACCGGAUACGACUGCCGGACGCAUGUCUGGUGGUGGAAAGUUUUUUCGGUUGGGGAUGGGCUCGCGGCCUAUCAGUUUGUUGGUGAGGUAAUGGCUCACCAAGACGACGACGGGUAGCCGGCCUGAGAGGGCGACCGGCCACACUGGGACUGAGACACGGCCCAGACUCCUACGGGAGGCAGCAGUGGGGAAUAUUGCACAAUGGGGGAAACCCUGAUGCAGCGACGCAGCGUGCGGGAUGACGGCCUUCGGGUUGUAAACCGCUUUCAGCAGGGAAGAAGCGCAAGUGACGGUACCUGCAGAAGAAGUACCGGCUAACUACGUGCCAGCAGCCGCGGUAAUACGUAGGGUACGAGCGUUGUCCGGAAUUAUUGGGCGUAAAGAGCUCGUAGGUGGUUGGUCACGUCUGCUGUGGAAACGCAACGCUUAACGUUGCGCGUGCAGUGGGUACGGGCUGACUAGAGUGCAGUAGGGGAGUCUGGAAUUCCUGGUGUAGCGGUGAAAUGCGCAGAUAUCAGGAGGAACACCGGUGGCGAAGGCGGGACUCUGGGCUGUAACUGACACUGAGGAGCGAAAGCAUGGGGAGCGAACAGGAUUAGAUACCCUGGUAGUCCAU